CACCUUCUCCAGCAUUGUGCCCGGCCUCCGCUCCCACGUCUGCGCCGGCUUGACGUCACACCGUAUGGCCGCGCAGGAGGACGUCAGUUACGUCACUCGCACGGCGCCCGGUGAGAAGGAGCGCUGCGCUGGAUGGAGGAUGAGAAUGCGCUGACAUAGUGAGGAGACGUCUGGGCGUCACAUUCUACAGACAGAAGUUUUAGCUGGAACAAGUCCUGGCGCUGAACUCUUGCGGCGGUGAUUAUGUACACACCGCUAUUGGUCCCGUUUUCUCUGCACUAUGACGUAUAUGCACGUGGGACACAUUGAUUGGGUGUCCAUAAUACAAAAGGAAGGUCCAUUCCCUCCCUGUGAUUACGCCCCGGAAGAAGCAGACAACGCAAAACGUUGGGUGGUGUUGGAGGUCUUACUGUGCUUCCACUAGGUGAUACCUGUAUACUAGAGAUGAGC